AGGGAAGCCGAUGAAUCCUUCAACCCCUUUAAACCCGGGUGGUCCCGAGGGUCCUGGUUUGCCGCAGGGUCCCUGGGGCCCUCUGGGUCCUGCCAUUCCUGGCGGUCCACUGAUGCUUGGGAACCCUGGCUGACCUAUCCAUAAAAACGUGCACCUGCAGACUAUUCAACAGUUUCCUCCCCCAAGGUCUUCCAGACAAAAACACAACUUUCCAGAGUUCAGUCACACUUUAAAUUUUUGUUUCUACCCGGCUGGCCUUUGGCACAUAGGACCCUCCAUAUGAACUGGUUCUGCUCAAGGUUUCUUGAGUUUUUAAUUCAGGCUGCCCUGAGGUUUCUGUAAAGUUUUUGUAAAGCGUCUUGGGACAAUAUGUAUUGUUAUUGGUGCUAUAUAAAUAAAAUCGAAAUUGAUCUGAAUUGGUCUCUAGACAUUAAUGGAUCAUCAGAGAACCACUGAUUGGAGACAAGACCAGAACAAGUUUCUCCAGGUCCAGAUGAGUAUCAGGUCAUUAACAGACUCCAGUCAUGUGAGGUGGACUCCAUCCGCAGAUAUUCCUGAUAAAAACCUAAACUCCACCAGACAUUUAGGGUUGAACACUUGGAGGAAAUAUUUUCUACAAACACAACAAGUCCAGGUGAGUUUGUCUAAGCUUUUUUGGACAACACAACAGAAACUAAAAAUUUGUUGUUCUAGAAGCUCUUGCAUUCUAGACGGAAGAACCAGGGUACAACCUUGAAUAGCCAGCAGCAUUUCAGUCAAUUUACAGUAGACAGUAGAGCUAAGUACACUAGACCGUAAACAUACACACUUUUUUUUUUUUUUUUUUUUUUUUUUACAAUGUUUAA